rnacentral:rRNA from 1 species
GAUGAACGCUGGCGGCGUGCCUAAUACAUGCAAGUCGAACGAACAGACGAUGAGCUUGCUCCUCUCACGAUAGCGGCGCACGGGUGAGUAACACGUGUAUAACCUACCUAUCAGACUGGUAAAACUUCGGGAAACCGGCGAAAAUACCGUAUAAUAUAUUGCACCGCAUGGUUGAAUGGUGAAAUACGGCUUUUCUGUCACUUCUCGCUGGUUCCGCGCCGGAUUAGCUGGUUGGUAAGGUAACGGCUUACCAAGGCAACGAAGCGUAACCGACCUGAGAGAGUGAUAGGCCACCUUGGAACUGAGACACGGACCAGACGCCUACGGGAGGCAGCAGUAUGAAAUGGUCCGCAAUGGGCGAAAGCCUGACGGAGCAACGCCGCGUGAGUGAUGAAGGUCUUCGGUGCGUAAAGCUCUGUUAUGAGGGAAGAACAAAUGUGGAAGUAACUAUGCACGUCUUGACGGUACCUAAUCAGAAAGCAACGGCUAACUACGUG